CUUUGCGAUAUUCAGAUUGGACGCUUGGACACGCUAAGCCGCUGUAUGAAGUCAGCUAGAGUUUGUGAAAAUCCACUAGUGUCUAAUUGGAAGGAAGUAUCUGCCGAAAUAAGAGUUCAUUAUUAUGCAAUCCAGCGCAGAUGCUGUGAAGAGACACAGAAAUGGCUCCCAGGCACAUGAGGGGAAAGCAGCUAAGGAGGAGGCCUUGCGUUGGUCCUUCAAAAGUGCCUUCCUGUAGGGAAUUCAGCACGUAGGAACUCCAUGGAAGAAAUAAGUAUUGUACAGGCCAACUGCCAGGGCGGCUUGCUCACAAUAUGAAAAAGAAUCAGCUGCUGUAAGAGAGGAGCGACUUCAUACAAAUGCCAGUGUUUGUCUAGUGACUUGAAGUAGCUGUAGAUUAAUACCCCAAUAUGUGGCAUAUUAUCUCCAAUAUUAAACAUAAAAAUUAAUUUAUGUGCCCCUAUUUUAAGGGUAGGGACUUAUGGAUAGACAAAAGCCUUUGCCUGAUUUAGGGUAGGAUCUCUCUGGUUACCCCCAGAUAAUUACACACCCAGAAAUGUUUGUAUCUUGUAAAAGGCCCCUGAACUUUUCCAUGCUUAACAGCCCCCUGACUUUUAUUAUAAAUUCAAUAUGGAAAGGUUGAGUUUCAGAAAGAAUUAUUUCAGUGUUAUCUCUGAUCAGUAUAGCAUCAAUGAGUAAUUUCACUAUCUGAAUUAAACUUAGGACACCUGUUUAAAUAUUGCCUAAACAGAUUAUGUCAAAUGUUAGAGAACUGGAAGUAUCUUGGAGGCAAGAUAAAUCAUUGGCUGCCAAGUGAGAGCAAACUGCUGUUAAUGUCUAAAAUGUAAAUAAAUACAUACAUACAUAUAUACAUAUGGGGAUCAAAAACAAUGCCAUGGUAAGAUUAAUAAAAUAACAAUCAGAGA